rnacentral:rRNA from 1 species
GACGAACGCUGGCGGCGUGCUUAACACAUGCAAGUCGAACGGAAAGGGCCUGCUUUUGUCGCCUGCUCGCGUGGCGAACCGGCGAGUAACCCGUGAGUAACCCGCCCCCGACUUUGGGACAACUCCAGGACACUCGGCCUAACACCGGAUAGGAGCUCCUGCUGCAUGGUGGGGGCUGGAACGUUUCGGCGGUUGGGGAUGGACUCGCGGCUGAUCAGCCUGUUGGUGGGGUAGUGGCCUACCAAGGCUUUGACGGGUAGCCGGCCUGGGAGGGUGACCGGCGACAGUGGGGCGGAGAUACGGCGCAGACUCGUACGGGAGGCAGCAGUGGGGAUGAUUGCUCGAUGGGCGGAAGGCUGGUGCAGCGACUGGGCGUGCGGGAUGACGGCCUUCGGGUUGUGAGCCGCUUUCGCCUGGGACGAAGCGUGAGUGACGGUAAUGGGUAAAGAAGCACCGGCUAACUACGUG